rnacentral:tRNA from 1 species
GUGAGAAUGCCAGAAUAAUAUGGGAUUGAUUUAGGUUCAUUUUAUGAUGUUAAUCUUCUCACU